AUUGAACGCUGGCGGCAGGCUUAACACAUGCAAGUCGAGCGAGCGGCGGACGGGUGAGUAAUGUCUGGGAAACUGCCUGAUGGAGGGGGAUAAAUACUGGAAACGGUAGCUAAUACCGCAUACCAUCAGAUGUGCCCAGAUGGGAUUAGCUAGUAGGUGGGGUAAUGGGUCACCUAGGCGACGAUCCCUAGCUGGUCAGAGAGGAUGACCAGCAACACGGGACCUGAGACACGGCCCAGCCUCCUAGGGUAGGCAGCCGUGGGGAAUAUUGCACAAUGGGGGCAAGCCUGAUGCAGCCAUGCCGGGUGUGUGAAGAAGGCCUUCGGGUUGAAAAGCACUUUCAGCGAGGAGGCGUUACUCACAGAAGAAGCACCGGCUAACUCCGUGCCAGCAGCCGCGGUAAUAC
rnacentral:rRNA from 1 species